UGGAGAUCCUGUUCAGAGGGGAGUGAGAGGUAAUGUUAUUGAUGUAUGGUGAUAUUAAAUCACAAACCCGAAACCAGAUGAUUGCUUUCUGUUGGUCCUGAACUGAACGGUUUACAGCCUUUUAUGCCAGCCCAACACUAACACACCUGACAAUUAGAGGUGCUACCGACGCUAUCGACAACGGUCAGUGAGAAACAGUUGUGAUGGGCUACAUUCUGGAUGACAAUCGUGCCAUGUUGACUCUUACUCAGAAAAUGAAUCAGACCGAUGAGGAAAUCCCUGAUUUAGCAUCAGUAGAACAUGCCUGACUCUCCUACACCAGUCAUACAGGGAGAAUAGUCUAAGGCCUCCCAUCAAAAAGAGAUCUGGCCCAAGCAAGCAAAGGCAGCAGAGCAGUCAUCAACUAGAUGCACCAUUUCUUCACCAACUACGGAGUUGGAGGAAACAUGUGUGGAUCUGAAUUGUGAUAACUGCAGUGGCCAAAACAAGAACACGUUUGUGCUCUGGUAUUGUGCCUGGCAGACCAUGCAAAAGCUCCACCACAGUCUGGACCUUCACUUCCUGAUCACAGGCCACACCAAGUUCGCCUCUGACUGGUGCUUCGGCCUCAUCAAGCAGCACUUCAGAAAGACAAGAGUGAACACUUUGUCUGAGAUUGCUGCUGUUGUGAAGGACAUCACUGUGACAGGGGUCAACAUCCCACAGCUGGUUGGACUGGAGGAUGGCACGGUGCUGGUGGAAAGCUAUGGCUGGCAACAACUUCAGGCUGCUGCCACAGAUCAAGCAGUACCAGUUGUUAUUCCCUGUUUUACAGCUUUGAUGCUCUGGAGCCUGGUGUUGUCGCUAAUGAGCAUUCGGACUGUCGGGACCAGGUUUUAUCUGCUGCGCAACGCUGACAUCCUUCCUCUGAAAAAGUGUCUGCCUGUACAAGCACCACCUGGACUGGACACAGCUAGACAAACUAUUUUUUUGACAAGAGAUGGGAGUUUUGCGACGAAGAGGCUAUGGACAUCACAUGCCCUGCACCAAAGUCAAGGGCAGGACAGAAACAGUCUCUCUCUAAACACAUACGUUGCUGCUACUAUUUUUAUUUUUUUGUCCUGCUGCUCAGCCACUUGAGCCCUGAUUGUAUGCAUAUAAAUACCUCGUUUAUCACUGAUAUUGUUAUUCAUAUUGUUCUUGUACAUGCUGUAUAUUAUUUGAUUUAUAUUGACUAUCUAUUUCUGAUAUUUCUACUCUGCAAGUAACCAUUUGGCUGUACCGUUUACACCUACUGGGGAGACCCAUCCACUUAGCAAGACUUAGCAAAAUAUUGAUAUAUAAAAUGAAUAUUGAUAUGUGUAGUCGUAACAUGAUUUUGUGACAUACCACAACCUCAUGUGACCGUAUCAAGUGUCCACCACAUAAAUAAACAGUGCAUGAAUCUGUUUUUGUACUGUACAUGUGCAACUCACACAGGUUUCAUCUCAGGUUGCAUGGCAUUAACUUGUAUGGAAUACUAUGUGAUAAGUGCGUGUGUAACAGUAUAUAUUUUUUUAUGUCUUCACUAUUAUUCUACAAUGUAGAAAAUAGUAAAAAUAAAGAAAAACCCUUGAA